rnacentral:tRNA from 1 species
GGGGAUGUAGCUCAGUGGUAGAGUGCUUGCCUGGCAUGCAUGAUAUCCUGCAUUCAACUCCC